rnacentral:lncRNA from 1 species
CUAAAUUCUGCAUUCCAAUAAGCUGCAUAGUGAUACAGACUACACUGUGAGUAACAAGGCCCUAAACCACUUUCUGUCACUGACAUGAAGCACCUUCUUCCCACAUUUCUCACUAAUCUGAAAGUUCCCACUACUGUAGCUGGCAAGGCACUGCUACAUGUCAAAGUUCAAAGAGGUUGUCUGCAAGCUGAGGAGCAAGGAACCGAGUCUGAGUCCCACUGAGUCCCAGAGCUGAAGAACUUGGCAUCCAAUGUUCCAGAUUGUGAUCUGGAUAAGAGCAAAUGCCAAUCAAGUUACUGAAUGCCUCCUUAGUAAGAGGAAAUCAGAGACAGUAUAAGCUGAAUAAAAUUAUAAAGAUGCUUCAUAAAAAGCAUCCAUGUUCACAAAGCCAACGUGGAGAACAUUCUACAAAAGUAUUGAUCUGUACUAAACAGAGAAAGGCAGAGGAACCUGUCCAGAUAAGAGAAAGCUAAGAAAAGACAUUCAACAAUUGAAGGUAAUGGAUUUCAUCCUGGGUCAAGAAAAGCAAAACCCUUCAUGACAUUAUUUGGUCAAUAUGCAAAAUUGAAAUAUAGAAUGUAGAUAAGACAGUACAUUAAAUUUGCUGAAUUUGAUAGCUGCAUUGUCAUGUGCAAUAAUGUCUUUGUCCUUAGAAAAUACUCAUUAAAAU